rnacentral:rRNA from 1 species
GAUGAACGCUAGCGGCAGGCUUAACACAUGCAAGUCGAGGGGUAUAGUAGCAAUACUAGAGACCGGCGCACGGGUGCGUAACGCGUAUGCAAUCUACCUUUCACAGAGGGAUAGCCCAGAGAAAUUUGGAUUAAUACCUCAUAGUAUAGUAUCUUGGCAUCAAGGAACUAUUAAAGUCACAACGGUGAAAGAUGAGCAUGCGUCCCAUUAGUUAGUUGGUAAGGUAACGGCUUACCAAGACUACGAUGGGUAGGGGUCCGGAGAGGGAGAUCCCCCAAACUGGUACUGGGAAACGGACCAGACUCCUACGGGAGGCAGCAGUGAGGAAUAUUGGACAAUGGGCGCAAGCCUGAUCCAGCCAUGCCGCGUGCAGGAUGACGGUCCUAUGGAUUGUAAACUGCUUUUGUACAGGAAGAAACACCCCGACGUGUCGGGACUUGACGGUACUGUAAGAAUAAGGAUCGGCUAACUACGUGCCAGCCGCCGCAGUAA